GCACGGUCCUUUCGGGGGCAGUGGCGAACGGGUGAGUAACGCGUGGGAACCUGCCCUGGAGUGGGGGAUAACUACUGGAAACGGUAGCUAAUACCGCAUGUGCCCUGAGGGGCAAAGCAGCAAUGCGCUCUGGGAGGGGCCCGCGUCCGAUUAGCUAGUUGGUGGGGUGACGGCCUACCAAGGCGACGAUCGGUAGCUGGUCUGAGAGGAUGAUCAGCCACACUGGGACUGAGACACGGCCCAGACUCC
rnacentral:rRNA from 1 species